rnacentral:rRNA from 1 species
UCCUACGGGAGGCAGCAGUGAGGAAUAUUGGUCAAUGGGCGAUGGCCUGAACCAGCCAAGUAGCGUGAAGGAUGACUGCCCUAUGGGUUGUAAACUUCUUUUAUAAAGGAAUAAAGUCGGGUAUGCAUACCCGUUUGCAUGUACUUUAUGAAUAAGGAUCGGCUAACUCCGUGCCAGCAGCCGCGGUAAUACGGAGGAUCCGAGCGUUAUCCGGAUUUAUUGGGUUUAAAGGGAGCGUAGAUGGAUGUUUAAGUCAGUUGUGAAAGUUUGCGGCUCAACCGUAAGAUUGCAGUUGAUACUGGAUG